AGCUCCUGGGCGCGGGGCGCUGGGCUGCUAUCUCGUCGAACUCUGUGACAGGUGUGGGCUUGGGCCUAGGAACGAGUUGUUCUUCUGCUCCAAGAAGGCUUGCUUUGGCGGGCCACGGCCCAGGUUGGCCCUCACGAAACUCUGCCCUAUUUUUUCUCAAAAAAAAAACGUAACUCCGCCCCGCACGCAGCAGCCGGCAAGGAGCGCGCCCUCCGGCGGCCGGCGACCUGGCUCAGAGGAGCACGGCGGACGGCAUGAUGGCCGGAGACAUGCUGAAAGUCAAGAGAAGCAGCAGAGCGAGCUCAAGUCCAAGGCAGGAAACACGCAAGCUGGGCCAGAGGGCCAGUGAGCCACCUCUUGCCAAUCCUUCUCUGCCGCGCUUAUUUCUACAGAUUUUUGUUCAGAGCCUUCACAUAUAUAUAAAUAUAUAAUGCUUCUGUCAACUAGGAGACUCGCAUCGGAACGAAGCGUUAAAAGAUCUGAUCAAAGGAGGGCUCAGCGAGGAAUCCGCUUCGAAGCUGGCUUUGAGCAUCGUCCCGCUCGUAUCGUAUCACGGUACAGGGAUCCAUUCUCGAUGCACGGGCAUAGUUGUCGAAAGCGAUCAAUACGCUACAUCUUUCCUCACAUCUAUAGAUCUGGUUACUAGAGACUCAGUUUUUCUCCCUGGAUGCCAGAUCAAAGUGCGUCUACCAAACAGGAGAGCGGCGAAGGCACAUCUGCAAUAUUACAGCGCGACUCCCGCUAUGCUUGUUGUGACCAUUGGGCCCUACCCUCAUCUUUGUGCAGCACGUAUCCGUGACAGAACUCAAGUCGAUGAGUCUUCCGGUGACCUGUUUGCUAUUAGUUGUCGGUACAAGACAGGCAAAUUAUCGGUCAUCCGUGGGAUGCUGGCUGACAGUCCAAGUGGACUCGAGGGCGAACGGUCCACGUGCCAAAUCACUGCGGUUGGAAGAGGUGGGCCUCUUGUUGGAGUUGAUGGGAGUAUUGUUGGGAUGAACCUCUGUACGGAAGAAGGGAUAACCCCAUUCGUACCAAUCAAUCAAAUUUAUAAAUGUCUGUGCAAAGUUGGGAUACGG